GACGAACGCUGGCGGCGUGCCUAAUACAUGCAAGUAGAACGCACAGUUUAUACCGUAGCUUGCUACACCAUAAACUGUGAGUUGCGAACGGGUGAGUAACGCGUAGGUAACCUGCCUGGUAGCGGGGGAUAACUAUUGGAAACGAUAGCUAAUACCGCAUAAUAUUAAUUAUUGCAUGAUAAUUGAUUGAAAGAUGCAAUUGCAUCACUACCAGAUGGACCUGCGUUGUAUUAGCUAGUAGGUGAGGUAACGGCUCACCUAGGCGACGAUACAUAGCCGACCUGAGAGGGUGAUCGGCCACACUGGGACUGAGACACGGCCCAGACUCCUACGGGAGGCAGCAGUAGGGAAUCUUCGGCAAUGGACGAAAGGCUGACCGAGCAACGCCGCGUGAGUGAAGAAGGUUUUCGGAUCGUAAAGCUCUGUUGUAAGAGAAGAACGGGUGUGAGAGUGGAAAGUUCACACUGUGACGGUAUCUUACCAGAAAGGGACGGCUAACUACGUG
rnacentral:rRNA from 1 species